rnacentral:ncRNA from 1 species
UUUCGUAGAGGUCGCGUGUUUCAAGAGUAUAUAACCGGAUGUGUUCAGGCACAGUGGAAAGUGAUAGAAAGGGGAACACGCCGAAAGGUGCAGUACCUGUAGCUGCAUGCUUGGGCGUACAGCGAAUAGCUGUACGACUGUCAUCGCGUGGCGAUGUUGAGCUAUCUG